UUCACCUUCACGGCUGGUCCUCAUUGCAGCCUGCUGGCCAGCACUGUAACCCAGGUCACUGUCCUUAGGAGGGUGUGUGACUCCCUCCUCACAUCAAUCUGCCCCAGAGCCGGGACCCUCUUGCCCCAUGUGGUCAGGCCUCUCUCCCUACAGGGCAUGGCAGGGUGUCAGGAGCCAUGGUUCUUCUUUAUUCUUCUGUGCUGCUUUCUGAGCAGAGUGACUCAGCCCCUCUUCAGCUUCUCUGUGACCUGGGGAGAAGUGCCAUUGCUCCUCUGCUGGCAUGAGCGAUGAGAUCCUACUUCAUGAACUGGAAGAGGACACUGCAAAUAUCCAGUACUCUAGAAGGAUCAGGAGCCAUCACCUUCAUCCCUGUAUCUGGAAUUGCAACCUACGUAGCAAAGUGACAGUGAAAACUAAUCAGAAACUGUCACUGCCCUCUAGGAACUCCCAUGGUGGAGGGGGAAAGAAGGCAUGAGACAAACAGCCGGACAGAACUGUUGCAGGGCAGGAGUAUGAUGAUGGUUGCUAUAACGAGCUGCUUUGGGAACAAUAAUGCAUUCAUUUAUCAAA